ensembl:lncRNA
UUUCAAUUUAGUAGUUUAUGUAAUUAAUGGGAAACACUGGGUUGUGUAGCAGGUGUUGUGGGCAUUAGCCCACAUGGGGGCCUCCUCUGUUGCUGAACUCCUCUGUUGCUGUGUGUGUGUGUGUGUGUGUGUGUGUGUGUGUGUGUGUGUGUGUGUGUGUGUGUGUGUGUGUGUGUGUGUGCGUGUGUGUCUGUGUGUGUGUGUGUGUGUGUGUGUGUGUUUUGGAGAUGUAAAGUCUUUCCAUCAAGAUACAGAUGAUACUCUUGAGAUACCAAUGAUCCUGACCCCUUCUGCUCUCUGGACCUGCCUGAUCAAUCCUGAUGUUCUACUUCUGUUUGGAGUUCUCAAUUGGAAGUCACAUGUUGCUGCUGAGGAUUGCCACAAACAGUUUUGCACUCAUCAGUGGAAAGUGGACAAGUUCAACAAAACAGACUUCAAAGCAGUAAUGAAGUUUCCUGGUUACACAAUUGCACUAUUUGACCAUGUAGUAUUAGAAGGCAUUAAUUUAUUUAUAAUCGCAAAAAUGUAUUUAUAAUUUAUUUUUAUUGCACUAUCCGGUGUCACCCAGAUGUGAACGGGUUCCCUUUUGAGUCUGGUUCCUCUCAAGAUUUCUUCCUCACAUCUUCUCAGGGAGUUUUGCCUCACCACCGUCACCUCUGGCUGCUCAUUAGGGAUAAAUUCAUACAUUUAAGAUCUAUAUCCCAAAUUUCUGUAAAGCUGCUCUGGGACAAUGUCCACUGUUAAAAGCACUAUACAAAUAAAACUGAAUUGAAUGGCCUAUGACUGAUGAAUUAAUGUUGCUCAUUAUUAAGUUUCUCUCAGCAGGGUGGAGGGUUUAAACUUCUCAGUAAUGUCGAGGUGGUGCCUCACACCCCCAGGGUCCGUGGUUCGACUCCUGGUAGGGCCAUGUGUGUGCAGAGUUUGCAUGUUCUCCCUGUGCUGCGGGGGGGUUUCCUUCGGGUACUCCGGUUUCCUCCCCCAGUCCAAAGACAUGCAUGGUAGGCUGAUUGGCAUGUCUAAAGUGUCCGUAGUGUAUGAAUGGGUGUGUGAGUGUGUAUGUGAUUGUGCCCUGCGAUGGACUGGCACCCUGUCCAGGGUGUACCCCGCCUUGUGCCCGAUGCUCCCUGGAAUAGGCUCCAGGUUCCCCGUGACCCUGAAAAGGAGUAAUUUUACUCCUUUUAUUAGCUUUUAUUGAAGAGAAUAUAAUCCAAAGGGCAAGGCAAAAUCAACAAUGAGGACAAGACUAGAGCAGGUAAAGCAGAUAAUCGGAGUCAAGGGCAAAACAGAAUAAGAAUCACAAAACAAUCGACUGGCUUGGUAAUGACAGAAACUAGAUUAACUGAGCAUUUACUUUGCAAACCCAGGGUAACUUCUAAGCAUCUGAUGUUCAUGAGUCCACCCUCAGGAGAACACUGAACAACAAUGGUGUGCAUGGCAGGGUUCUAAGGAGAAACCAUUGCUCUCCAAAAGAACAUUGCUGCCCUUCUACAGUUUGCUAAAGAUCAUGUGGACAAGCCAGAAGGAUACUGGAAAAAUGUUUUGAGACCAAAUUAGAACAUUUUGUUUUAAAUGAGAAGCGUUAUGUUUGGAGAAAGGAAAACACUGCAUUCCAGCAUAAGAACCUUAUCCCAUUUGUGAAACAUGGUGGUGGAAGUGUCAUGCUUUGGGCCUGUUUUACUCCAUCUGGACCAGAAUGACUCAUUAUCACUGAUGGAACAAUGAAUUGUGAAUGAUACCAGUGAAUUCUAAAGGAAAAUAUCAGGACAUCUAUCCAUGAACUGAAUCUGAAGAGAGAGUGGGUCAUGCAGCAAGACAACGAUCCUAAACACGAGUCGCUCUACCAAAGAAUGGUUAAAGAAGAAUAAAUUAAUGUUUUGGAACGGCCAAGUCAAAGUCCUGACCUUAAUCCAAUAGAAAUGUUGCCGAAGGACCUGAAGCAAGCAGUUCAUGUGAGUUACAGCAAAUGUUUAGUUGCAGUAAUUGCUGCACAAGAGGGUCACAACAGAUAAUGAAAGCAAAGGUUCACAUACUUUUGCCACUCACAGAUAUGUAAUAUUGGAUUUUGAUCAAUAAAUAAAUGACCAAGUAUAAUAUUAUUGAUUCAUUUGUUUAAUCAGGUUCUCUUUAUCUACUUUUAGGACUUUGAUGAAAAUUUGAUUAUGUUUUAGGUCAUACUUAUGCAGAUAUAUAGAAAAUUCUAAAGGGUUCACAAACUUUCAAGCACCACUGUGCUGUAUGUGCAUUAAGAAUCAUAUUCAGAGUUAAUGAUUUAAGUUAAAAGUUAUAUUAAUA